rnacentral:rRNA from 1 species
CGCCUGGGGAGUGCGGCCGCAAGGUUAAAACUCAAAUGAAUUGACGGGGGCCCGCACAAGCGGUGGAGCAUGUGGUUUAAUUCGAUGCAACGCGAAGAACCUUACCUACACUUGACAUGCAGAGAACUUUCUAGAGAUAGAUUGGUGCCUUCGGGAACUCUGACACAGGUGCUGCAUGGCUGUCGUCAGCUCGUGUCGUGAGAUGUUGGGUUAAGUCCCGCAACGAGCGCAACCCUUGUCCUUAGUUGCCAGCAUUAAGUUGGGCACUCUAAGGAGACUGCCGGUGACAAACCGGAGAAGUGGGGACGACGUCAAGUCAUCAUGGCCCUUACGUGUAGGGCUACACACGUGCUACAAUGGCAUUUACAGAGGGAAGCGAGACAGUGAUGUGGAGCGGACCCCUUAAAGAAUGUCGUAGUCCGGAUUGGAGUCUGCAACUCGACUCCAUGAAGUCGAAUCGCUAGUAAUC